rnacentral:rRNA from 1 species
GACGAACGCUGGCGGCGUGCCUAAUACAUGCAAGUAGAACGCUGAAGGAGGAGCUUGCUUCUCUGGAUGAGUUGCGAACGGGUGAGUAACGCGUAGGUAACCUGCCUGGUAGCGGGGGAUAACUAUUGGAAACGAUAGCUAAUACCGCAUAAGAGUAGAUGUUGCAUGACAUUUGCUUAAAAGGUGCAAUUGCAUCACUACCAGAUGGACCUGCGUUGUAUUAGCUAGUUGGUGGGGUAACGGCUUACCAAGGCGACGAUACAUAGCCGACCUGAGAGGGGGAUCGGCCACACUGGGACUGAGACACGGCCCAGACUCCUACGGGAGGCAGCAGUAGGGAAUCUUCGGCAAUGGACGGAAGUCUGACCGAGCAACGCCGCGUGAGUGAAGAAGGUUUUCGGAUCGUAAAGCUCUGUUGUAAGAGAAGAACGAGUGUGGGAGUGGAAAGUUCACACUGUGACGGUAUCUUACCAGAAAGGGACGGCUAACUACGUG